UACGGGGGGAGCAAGCGUUGUUCGGAUUUACUGGGCGUAAAGGGCGCGUAGGCGGCCACUGCAAGUCAGUUGUGAAAUCUCCGGGCUUAACCCGGAAAGGUCAACUGAUACUGCAGGGCUAGAGUGCAGAAGGGGCAACUGGAAUUCUCGGUGUAGCGGUGAAAUGCGCAGAUAUCGGGAAGAACACCCGUGGCUAAGGCGGCUCUCUAGUACGGUACUGACGCUGAGACGCGAAAGCGUGGGGAGCGAACAGG
rnacentral:rRNA from 1 species